rnacentral:rRNA from 1 species
GACGAACGCUGGCGGCGUGCUUAACACAUGCAAGUCGAGCGGUAAGGCCCUUCGGGGUACACGAGCGGCGAACGGGUGAGUAACACGUGGGUGAUCUGCCCUGUACUUCGGGAUAAGCCUGGGAAACUGGGUCUAAUACCGGAUAUGACCACGGGAUGCAUGUCUUGUGGUGGAAAGAUUUAUCGGUGCAGGAUGGGCCCGCGGCCUAUCAGCUUGUUGGUGGGGUAAUGGCCUACCAAGGCGACGACGGGUAGCCGACCUGAGAGGGUGACCGGCCACACUGGGACUGAGACACGGCCCAGACUCCUACGGGAGGCAGCAGUGGGGAAUAUUGCACAAUGGGCGGAAGCCUGAUGCAGCGACGCCGCGUGAGGGAUGACGGCCUUCGGGUUGUAAACCUCUUUCGACAGGGACGAAGCGUAAGUGACGGUACCUGUAGAAGAAGCACCGGCCAACUACGUG